AUAACGGAAAUAUAAUUGAAGAACGCCCCUCCUUUGGCGAUUUACAAUCUCUUUCUUCUCCAUCUCUUUGUUUUCUUCUUCGAUUCAGUCUGAUUAUGAUCGUUGACACAUCUUUAGAUCAUAUCCAUGUCUAAAUUCCCAUUUCUAGGGAUUUCUUGGGAAUUCAACUUGAAUUGCUACAGUUUUAAUCACAAUGAAACAAAAGGUCUACAAGAGUGUAAGAAUCAGGUCAUGUUCUUACUCAAACUGGACUAAGAUGUAGGAGCUAAACCAAUAACCGUAACAAGAAACAGAUUUUUGGCGAACAUAAAAUAUUUUGCUGGGUAAGUUGGUUUUAAUCGUUUUUGAAAUUAUAUAGUAAUUUAACACACUGCUUCUCCUAACUUGUUUAUUUAGCAGUUAUGGAUUGUUGUAAAGCCAAAAGUUUCUAUAGGGGUCGGGUCUUUGUGCAGUCUGGUGUGUCACUUAGCUUUCUUGUUAUGUCGUCAGUGCAAUGUGCUAUCACGUUCUUUCGCUAGUCCAUGAGAUCUGGAAACCUAUUCCUCGAACUAUAAAGCACCUCUCGAAAGGGGACACCAUUGUUGACUAAUGCUUAUCUGAUUCACACGGAAAUCGAAAGCAAGAUAGUAGCAGCAAAGGUAAAUGGUUAUCUUGUUUCUCCAACUCACAUUCUUGAGAAUGUUGAUGUCGUGGAGACUGUCACCUACAACAUUUUGUACCUUUUCUCUCAUGCAUUUUUUUUUCAUAUCUCGUUUUCUUUUUUUCCACGUACGGAAAUUAUGAUUAGCUUCUUCAUCUCUACCUAGGUUUCACGAGCUUUCAUGUUCCUUUUUAUUGCUACAGCCCCUCUCGAGCAAAUCUGUUUUCCAGAGACAUAAACAGUGGUUGUAACAUGCCAAAACAAGGAGUGCGAGACAGAAGAUUAUGAGGGUAUAUUAUUGACUUUGAUAGUGAUGCAGAACAUUCAAGAAAGAGCUUACAAUGGUGGGAGAAAAUCCUCGUCAAUGUCAAGCAGUUCCCACUUCCCAGUCACAAGACAAAAUCAGAUAUACAUCACGAGAAAAAGGCAGAGAUAUUACAACACCCACCUCUCAAAAUGGAGCACUUGGUCCCAAAGGUAAUGGAAUUGCCAAGAUUUUUCCUGCUAAAAGCUUAGACAGUUGGCGAGACACUAAAAGCUCGAAGGUCACUCCAUCGAAUGGUUCUGUGUAGUAUACAUGGAUCGGAAAGGCAUAAUCUCAAAGGUUAUAACAGUCCUUACAGCUGAAAGGUUCUGUGUAGUAUCCAUGGAUCGGAAAGGCAUAAUGUCAAAGGUUACAACAGUCCUUGCAGCUUUCAGCAUCGCAAGGAUUAGCAGUAAUGUUGCUUCAAAUAGAAGCAAACAUUGAAAGCUUGGUGGAUCUACUCUUGGGAUGGUCGAGUUGUUUUAGCUGGCCAAAAUCAACAGAUAAUGCUCAAGUUCUUGAGUGUUAUAGCCAAAAGACUCACUUUCUUGGCCAUGAGGUUUUUUCAUGUUUUUUCUUCUUACUUGCUUCUUUGAUUCGUUGUUUCUUUUGCUUGCUUGCUUUGUUACUUGCUAUAUUCAUUGUUUGUUUUCUUGCUCAACUUGUUUGCUUUUGCUGCUUCUUUGCUUCCUCUGCUUUGUGUAUUGCUUGUUGUUUCUUUGCUUCUUUGAUUCCUCUUUUGUGCUUCCUUGAUUUCUUUGUAUUGUUUGUUCUUUUGUUUUCGCCCAACUUGUUUGUUUGAUUCCUCUGCUUUAGUGUAUUAUCUGUUCCUUUGCUUCUUAGAUUCUUCUUAUGUUUGUGCUUUUUUUGGCUCAACGAUUUUGUUUGCUUAUUUAAUUCUUCUGUUCAGUGCAUUGCUUGUAUUUUUGCUUCUUCUAUUCCUUUUUUUUUUUUAGCACUGUACUGCUAGCUUUUGUGCUUCCUUUAUUCAUAUGUUUAAUGCAUUUUUCGUUUUUAUUUAUUUGAUUCCUUAAUUCCUCUCAAUACUUGAGACUGAAUAGAUUUUGUGCGAUAAAUUUUUGUAUUAUUCAUUUAUAAUUUUUGUUCGUUAUAAAUUUUUGUAUUAUUCACUUAAUUCCUCUCAAUACUUGAGACUGAAAAGAUGUACAAACAAUUAUUUAUUUCAUAUGAAAUAAAAUGAGAUUUAACCGA